UACGUAGGGGGCAAGCGUUGUCCGGAAUCAUUGGGCGUAAAGAGCGUGUGGGCGGCCAGAUAAGUCCGCUGUGAAAUCUCGAGGCUCAACUUCGAGCUGUCGGUGGAAACUGUCUGGCUAGAGUCCGGAAGAGGAGAAUGGAAUUCCUGGUGUAGCGGUGAAAUGCGCAGAUAUCAGGAAGAACACCCGUGGCGAAGGCGGUUCUCUGGGACGGUACUGACGCUGAGACGCGAAAGCGUGGGGAGCGAACAGG
rnacentral:rRNA from 1 species